rnacentral:rRNA from 1 species
GAUGAACGCUGGCGGCGUGCCUAAUACAUGCAAGUCGAGCGAACGGACGAGAAGCUUGCUUCUCUGAUGUUAGCGGCGGACGGGUGAGUAACACGUGGAUAACCUACCUAUAAGACUGGGAUAACUUCGGGAAACCGGAGCUAAUACCGGAUAAUAUUUUGAACCGCAUGGUUCAAAAGUGAAAGACGGUCUUGCUGUCACUUAUAGAUGGAUCCGCGCUGCAUUAGCUAGUUGGUAAGGUAACGGCUUACCAAGGCAACGAUGCAUAGCCGACCUGAGAGGGUGAUGGGCCACACUGGAACUGAGACACGGUCCAGACUCCUACGGGAGGCAACAGUAGGGAAUCUUCCGCAAUGGGCGAAAGCCUGACGGAGCAACGCCGCGUGAGUGAUGAAGGUCUUCGGAUCGUAAAACUCUGUUAUUAGGGAAGAACAUAUGUGUAAGUAACUGUGCACAUCUUGACGGUACCUAAUCAGAAAGCCACGGCUAACUACGUG